AGUGGAUGGGGAGCAACCUAGUUGUCGUGUGUAAAGGUAGUGCCAAGAAAAGCGAUGAUCAUGUUGAAAAUCAAUUCCCGGUACCCGAAACCGACACAGGUGGGCAAGUAGAGAAUACUAAGGGGCGCGAGGUAACUCUCUCCAAGGAACUCGGCAAAAUGACCCCGUAACUUAGGGAGAAGGGGUGCCACCGAGAGGUGGUCGCAGUGAAGAGGCCCAGGCGACUGUUUAGCAAAAACAUAGGUCUCUGCAAACUCGAAAGAGGAGGUAUAGGGGCUGACGCCUGCCCAGUGCCGGAAGGUUACAGAAGUUGGUCAGUUUUAGGAUGAAGCUAGCGACUGAAGCCCCGGUGAACGGCGGCCGUAACUAUAACGGUCCUAAGGUAGCGAAAUUCCUUGUCGGGUAAGUUCCGACCCGCACGAAAGGCGUAACGAUCUGGGCGCUGUCUCGGAGAGAGGCUCGGCGAAAUAGGAUUGUCUGUGAAGAUACGGACUACCUGCAUUUGGACAGAAAGACCCUAUGAAGCUUUACUAUAGCUUGGAAUUGUGUUCGGGCUUCCUGUGCGCAGGAUAGGUGGGAGGCGUAGAAGGUAUUCUUGUGGGGAUACUGGAGCCAACGGUGAGAUACCACUCUCAGGAGGCUAGAAUUCUAACUUAAUUAAGGACAGUUUCAGGUGGGUAGUUUGACUGGGGCGGUCGCCUCCAAAAAGGUAACGGAGGCGUACAAAGGUUCCCUCAGACUGGUUGGAAAUCAGUCGAAGAGUGCAAAGGCAGAAGGGAGCUUGACUGCGAGAAGUACAGUUCGAGCAGGGUGGAAACACGGUCUUAGUGAUCCGACGGUGCUGUGUGGAAGGGCCGUCGCUCAACGGAUAAAAGUUACUCUAGGAUAACAGGCUGAUCUCCCCCAAGAGUUCACAUCGACGGGGAGGUUUGGCACCUCGAUGUCGGCUCAUCGCAACCUGGGGCGGAAGUACGUCCCAAGGGUUGGGCUGUUCGCCCAUUAAAGCGGUACGUGAGCUGGGUUCAGAACGUCGUGAGACAGUUCGGUCCAUAUCCGAUGUAGGCGUGAGAAUAUUGAGAGGAGCCUUCCUUAGUACGAGAGGACCGGGAAGGACGCACCGCUGGUGUACCUGUUAUGAUGCCAAUUGUAAACGCAGGGUAGCCAAGUGCGGAGAGGAUAACCGCUGAAAGCAUCUAAGUGGGAAGCCCACCUCAAGAUGAGUAUUCUGGUGUAAGGUCACGGGAAGACGACCCGUAAAUAGGCACGAGGUGGAAGUGCAGAGAUGUAUGAAGCCGAAGUGUUCUAAUAGACCGUCGGCUUG
rnacentral:rRNA from 1 species